UAUAUGUUUUUGAUUUGCUAUUUCUGCAAAAAUCAGCCACAACUAAAUCAAAUGACUCUUCCUGCUUGCUGAAUCAACUCCUUCCCAUUGACCAUGUUCAUAAGAUGUUGUCAGACAGACUGUUCCAAAUUCAAUUAAGAAAGUCAUCCUGGAGAACAUCGAAUGACACACAGACAACUGUAUCAAUUAUGUCCUAUGUAGAAAGGGAACCAAUCUUUCCACCUAGCAUUAAUCAGAGUAACACCAAAAAAAUGAAGCCUCUAAGCACAAGUGCGGUAGACAUGGAGAAAGCAUGUAUUGCAUCUGACUCUUCAAGCAUAAGGCUGAAAGAUCAACCACCCACACCAUAAAAAAGGUUGUAAAAGAUCAUGUCGUCUUUAUUUUUGUGACUUUUGCUUAUGGGAAAAGAGAUGUUUUUGGAAUCAAGUUUGUACAACUUUGCUCGGUAGGGAGGACUAAUCAUUGGGAACAGAGGAGGAUGAAGUAACGAAGAUGAUAUGCAGGUUAUUCAGCUUUUUUUGGCAGCCUCAACGUUGCACAUUCACACGUACUUCAAAAUACCUCCCUCGUUUAUGUGGUUUUUGCAAUAGCAAAGGUUGGCAACUAAGAUUAAGGGAUUGUAGCUCUUGCUUAUAUGAAAUGAUAGAUGAAGAUGUACUUGAAGAUGUUAUUUGAAUAUAGUUAGGCUAAACAAUGUACUC